rnacentral:rRNA from 1 species
CCUACGGGGGGCUGCAGUGGGGAAUAUUGGACAAUGGGGGGAACCCUGAUCCAGCCAUGCCGCGUGUGUGAAGAAGGCCCUCGGGUUGUAAAGCACUUUCAGUGAGGAAGAACGCCUGGUGGUUAAUACCCAUCAGGAAAGACAUCACUCACAGAAGAAGCACCGGCUAACUCCGUGCCAGCAGCCGCGGUAAUACGGAGGGUGCGAGCGUUAAUCGGAAUUACUGGGCGUAAAGCGCGCGUAGGUGGCUUGAUAAGCCGGUUGUGAAAGCCCCGGGCUCAACCUGGGAACAGCAUCCGGAACUGUCAAGCUAGAGUGCAGGAGAGGAAGGUAGAAUUCCCGGUGUAGCGGUGAAAUGCGUAGAGAUCGGGAGGAAUAUCAGUGGCGAAGGCGGCCUUCUGGACUGACACUGACACUGAGGUGCGAAAGCGUGGGUAGCAAACAGGAUUAGAUACCCGUGUAGUC